rnacentral:rRNA from 2 species
GUGAAGUACGUGUCGGAUUAUUGGGCGUAAGCGCGCGCAGGCGGUCCUUUAAGUCUGAUGUGAAAUCCCGUGGCUUAACCACGGGCGGUCAUUGGAAACUGGGGGACUUGAGUGCAGAAGAGAAGAGCGGAAUUCCACGUGUAGCGGUGAAAUGCGUAGAGAUGUGGAGGAACACCAGUGGCGAAGGCGGCUCUUUGGUCUGUAACUGACGCUGAGGCGCGAAAGCGUGGGGAGCGAACAGGAUUAGAUACCCUGGUAGUCCACGCCGUAAACGAUGAGUGCUAAGUGUUAGAGGGUUUCCGCCCUUUAGUGCUGCAGUUAACGCAUUAAGCACUCCGCCUGGGGAGUACGGCCGCAAGGCUGAAACUCAAAGGAAUUGACGGGGGCCCGCACAAGCGGUGGAGCAUGUGGUUUAAUUCGAAGCAACGCGAAGAACCUUACCAGGUCUUGACAUCCCGCUGCCCGGUCUGGAGACAGGCCUUUCCCUUCGGGGACAGCGGUGACAGGUGGUGCAUGGUUGUCGUCAGCUCGUGUCGUGAGAUGUUGGGUUAAGUCCCGCAACGAGCGCAACCCUUGACCUUAGUUGCCAGCAUUCAGUUGGGCACUCUAAGGUGACUGCCGGUGACAAACCGGAGGAAGGUGGGGAUGACGUCAAAUCAUCAUGCCCCUUAUGACCUGGGCUACACACGUGCUACAAUGGAUGGUACAAAGGGUUGCAAGACCGCGAGGUUAAGCCAAUCCCAUAAAACCAUUCUCAGUUCGGAUUGCAGGCUGCAACUCGCCUGCAUGAAGCCGGAAUCGCUAGUAAUCGUGGAUCAGCAUGCCACGGUGAAUACGUUCCCGGGCCUUGUACACACCGCCCGUCACACCACGAGAGUCUGUAACACCCGAAGUCGGUGGGGUAACCUUUUGGAGCCAGCCGCCGACGUGAGAUAGAUGAUUGGGGUUGAAGUCCUAACAGGUAAGACGAAGAUAGGAAAA